CCUACGGGAGGCAGCAGUGAGGAAUAUUGGUCAAUGGGCGUAAGCCUGAACCAGCCAAGCCGCGUGAGGGAUGAAGGUUCUAUGGAUCGUAAACUUCUUUUAUAAGGGAGUAAAGUGUGGGACGUGUCUUGUUUUGCAUGUACCUUAUGAAUAAGGAUCGGCUAACUCCGUGCCAGCAGCCGCGGUAAUACGGAGGAUCCGAGCGUUAUCCGGAUUUAUUGGGUUUAAAGGGUGCGUAGGCGGCCUUUUAAGUCAGCGGUGAAAGGCAGGGGCUUAACCAAAGAAUUGCCUUGGAAACUGGGAGGCUUGAGUGUAGAUGAGGCCGGCGGAAUGCGUGGUGUAGCGGUGAAAUGCUUAGAUAUCACGCAGAACACCGAUUGCGAAGGCAGCCGUCCAAUCCAUGACUGACGCUGAUGCACGAAAGCGUGGGGAGCAAACAGGAUUAGAUACCCGAGUAGUC
rnacentral:rRNA from 1 species